GUAUUUGAAUUGUUUAUUCAUAAUAUUUUUCAGACAAACAGUUAAGAUAUGGGUUGAUGUUUGACCAAGUCUUUUUUUCAUUACAAAAAAAAGACCGGUCUGACAUUGCACACAAGGUGGAUAUGGAUUUAAAAAGUGCCAUAAAACACUUAUUAUGAAUGAUCCUUCCGCAGGUUCACCUACGGAAA
rnacentral:misc_RNA from 1 species